rnacentral:tRNA from 1 species
GGAGUUGUGGCUCAGUGGUAGAGCGCUUACAUAGCAUGUAUGAGGCACUGGGUUCGAUUCUCAGCACUGCA